CGGCGAGUGAAGCGGGAUGAGCUCAAGCUUAAAAUCUCUGUGCAGGUUCUGCAUGGCGAAUUGUAGUCUAUGGAGGCGAUGUCAGUGCGGUUGUGCGGGAUAAGUUCCUUGGAAGAGGACAGCAUCGAGGGUGAUACUCCCGUAUGUGCCUGUACAGCUGCGCGUACGACACGUUUUCUUUGAGUCGCGUUGUUUGGGAAUGCAGCGCAAAGUAGGUGGUAAAUUCCAUCUAAAGCUAAAUAUUGGUGCGAGACCGAUAGCGAACAAGUACCGUGAGGGAAAGAUGAAAAGAACUUUGAAAAGAGAGUUAAAGAGUACCUGAAACUGCUGAAAGGGAAUCGAAUCGUUUCCAGUGUCUAUAAUCCAUGACAUAUUUCAUUGGCGCGUGAAUGCGUGCAGCGUUUUGGAAGUGGGUUUCCUCUCCUGGCGUUGUUGUGCGUUUGCUUGCUGGUGCCCUGUGUUGUGGUGGGACGUCAGAGUCAGUUCGUAUGCCGCGGGAAAUGGCUGUCAGGGAGGUAGGUCGCUUCGGUGAUUGUUAUAGCCUGGCAGUUAGUAGUCGUGGUUGGGACUGAGGUGCCUACAACGCGCUUUCGAGUCUGCGGGGACUCUCGUCUGGUUGCCUGCUUGGACAGCUUGCUGUGCUAGUGGGUCACAUCGGGCGAUUGAGAUCUGUAGUAACUUGU
rnacentral:rRNA from 1 species